CUCACCACUACUAAUCAAUCCAGGGAGAGAGCAGCUUGCUUCUGGCAAAGAUAUGCGAUUCACUUCCUGUCCACGUCCAAGAAGUCGAUCAUCACACCAGUCACACUAUCAUUCUUACUCCCUUUUGCAGCAAAGCUUUCUCGCUGAGACGCCUGUUCACACUGUGGUCAUCAUAUUACGUCUAAAGAACCUCGAGCAUCGCUGUGCCUUCCCAUCAAUGCCAUCACACUGUUGCCAUGGGGACAGCCAACCGCUCAUCCGCCCCCAGCAACCCUCGGCCUGUCUCGCCAAAGCCACUGGCAAAUAUAUCUGAUCUCAAAAUGUCAUCAAACAUCAACCUCCAUUCAUUUUGCUUUUGAAGGGCAAGGAGGCUUAAUGAAUUUUUCUUCUUUGCUAUUUUUCCCUGCAAAAGGAGUGGAAUGCUUUCUAUUUUGCAAUAAAUAAAAAACUUUCAAUCUAACUCUUAAAUCCCUG
ensembl:lncRNA